rnacentral:rRNA from 1 species
UACAGAGGUCUCAAGCGUUGUUCGGAUUUAUUGGGCUUAAAGGGCGCGUAGGCGGCGGGGUAAGUCGGGUGUGAAAUCUCAGGGCUCAACCCUGAAACUGCACUUGAUACUGCUCUGCUUGAGGACUGGAGAGGAGACUGGAAUUCACGGUGUAGCAGUGAAAUGCGUAGAUAUCGUGAGGAAGACCAGUGGCGAAGGCGGGUCUCUGGACAGUUCCUGACGCUGAGGCGCGAAGGCCAGGGGAGCAAACGGG